GAUUCUGCUUGGCUACGGAUGAGUCGGCAUUUUCAACUGAAGAAUGUUCAAUAGUUGCCGUGUCUGGUUUAUUAUGGAAGUACAAGCUCUUCUUAACAUUGGGAAGUCCAAAGGACCACAGGAGAGCCAGGACUUGUGCUAUUUUACUUACAGCCCGCAGAUAUGUAGAGUAGUUGCUUAUAGUUCAUCCAAUUCAGGCCUAUGAGUAGCUGUGCCGAUAAUCCAGCCACCAACUUGCCAACAAACAUCGCCGCCCUGGUGUGGGAGGUAACGCGGGGAUAAUACUUCUUGUCGACCUUGGCAUAAAUAUAGGAAUAAUAUGCCACUUCGGUGGCCUGAUAAAAACCAUAAAACACCUCAACAAUUUGCAGUCCCAACAGCGUUGUUGUCCAAAUAAGUACACUCCAGAUAACAAUGCCAGUUAAUGCGUUGGCAAUAAUCAAAGGUUUAUAUCUGUAGAAUACAUGUAAUUGUGCACUUUAUAAGUGUAUAACGAAUUCAAUUACCUGAGAAAGUCGGUGACAAGAAACACAACAAUCAACAGAGCCAGAUAUGAGUAGGUUCCAAUGGGAUAAACCGAACGUAUCACCUGAUCCUGUGUCACAUUAUACCACUCGCCCAAGAGGAUCUCGGCAUGAUAAGGCUCCGACGGUCGCAGCUCCCGUAAAAAUCCAAACACGCAGAGCAAGCAUGAGACUUUCAGCCAAGACAACUCCAUCUCCAACCCUACACCGACCACCGCCAUUAACUAUCUAAUCGACAGCUUAGUCGACGGCACUGACAGCGGCAAUUUAGCGGAAUCUUGAACAACUCUCCAUGCUUAGCAUACAAAUAAUUAAAAUAAUUAUACAAACUUAUAUGGGGUUAUAAUUUGAACUAUAAGUACAUGAAUUUGGUUGAUUAUUUGUAAUCAGAGCUAACCGCCUAGAGAUUAACGCUGAGUAAAUACAAGGGAACGUUAACGUGUUCCCUAAUCGUUAGCAAUCUUUAGUACACGAUCUUUACAUUCCACUUGCUAAAAUUCACACAAUAUAAAUUAAUGCGAUUGAUAUGUAAAAACAAUAUUAUCACAUGUGUUACACAGGCAAUUAUUAUAAAAUAUUAUAAUUAUAGCCAUUAAUCAGAUUGAUUAUCAAACCUAAUUGAUGUAUUAAAAUAAGAUAGAAAAUCGAUCUGAAUGCACUUGUAGAUGAUAUUGGUAGUCCUAUUGGCCGAUUCCAUUAUUUGCACUGCGGGAAACAAAAAGUGGACUGAACUCUAACACAAAUCUUGUGUAAUCAAUUCAUAUACUUAAUUUGUAUACGAGUAUAAUGGACGACUUCCGGGUUUGUAGUCAAUUAUACACUUACACAUUGUCUAAGGGCAAUAAACAAAUACUUAAAAACUG